rnacentral:rRNA from 1 species
AUGGUUCGCCUGCCAGACAACGAUGUCGCCGUCAUCAAACUAGAGAGCCGUGCGCUCUCCCCUCCCCGCCACCCAGCCCACCGCGUGUUUUCCUUUCCUGAGCAAACCGAGGCUACGGAAGUCGAUGUCGAUGGCCUAGAUGAGGAAGAGGACCCGGACGAGGUCGAGUUUGAGUCGGGGGACGAGUCCACCAACUCAGAUGAGACCCAAUCGGUUUUCACCUCUUCUCCACCUAGGCAUCGCCACGGCUUCUCGAACGUUUUCAUGCCAUACACACCCAUCGAGCACUUCCAAAACCUAGCUUAUGCCCUUGUCAACCCACCCCACCCCUCCCCACAGGCCUGCGUGCGCCGUGCUCUCCAAACCGGGGCUGGCAACCCUCCUGUUCUGAUCCGGGCCUCGUCCUACGGGGCAGGCCUGGUGAUCUUUGGAUCGGCCUAUGAGAGGGAGGUCUCCAUCCUUUCCAGCCCACUCACGUGCCCAAUCAACUCCGUCAGCCUCAUCCGCCAUGAGGACACAGAAAAUCGCUUUCUUUUCCGCCUCGGCACGGUUUCCGCCCUUAACAUCGAGGACUUUCCAAUCGAAUACUGGUUCACCCCCACGAUUACCAACUCCAAUGUUCCUUUUGCCUGUCCCAUCCAGAUCGACCCGGUUUGCCUCACCGGGGUCGACUACUCCGCAGUCCUUGUCUCUGUCAAGAGCCGCAGCCUUACCGACGUGCCUCACUCCAUCCCGGUGCACGGUUUCUCCGGUCUUGGUGCCAUCGCUUCCGUCCUCGUAGUCCACUCUCAAGAGCUCCCACCUGACCCUGCUUUUGCCAUGCCAGACUCCGACGAUGACAGCAACGGCGGGGGCGGCGGUGACGGUGGGGACGGGGACUUUCCCGCCGGCAUGGAUCCGAACCUCUCUGCUCCUCCACCACCACCCACCGACAAGAGCCAUGACGACCGAGUGGUUCAGCUGCCCGGCGGCCUCACCAUGAUGGCGAACCACAAGCCGUUGGUGUGUGCAGUGCCUCUCACGGCCCGUCCCAAGUCGGUGGAAGUUAAGCUCUUCAAGGGCUUCUACGACGUGCGCGUCAUGGGCGCGCGUGGCGAGCGCGGCUUCUACCGCAUCCCCAUGAGCCCAGCGGGAUCGCCCAAGCUCAUCAUCACCAACCUCGCCACUUGCUCCAUCGGCUUCCUCGACAGGGUGGCCACCGUGGGGCCUUCCCACACGCCUUUCACGGACGCCAGAGGUCAUCUGCAACGACCUUCGCGGCCGCGCCCUCACCCACGGCUGACGACGAGGACCAAGUCAUGCAUGCAGUGGAGCGCUUCGACGCCAGCCUUCCUUCUAUCCAGGCCACGCCGCCACUUCCCAUCAACGGCGUCGCACAGGCUGGGGAGCCCGAGCAGCUGCAGCCGUCUCCUCCUCCCCCCGGCACGCCCGUCGACCUCCCUCCCCACGCCGCUUCGCUGA